rnacentral:rRNA from 1 species
GACGAACGCUGGCGGCGUGCUUAACACAUGCAAGUCGAACGGUAAGGCCCUUCGGGGUACACGAGUGGCGAACGGGUGAGUAACACGUGGGUGAUCUGCCCUGCACUUCGGGAUAAGCCUGGGAAACUGGGUCUAAUACCGGAUAGGACCACUGCCUGCAUGGGGGGUGGUGGAAAGCUUUUGCGGUGUGGGAUGGGCCCGCGGCCUAUCAGCUUGUUGGUGGGGGGAUGGCCUACCAAGGCGACGACGGGUAGCCGGCCUGCGAGGGUGACCGCGCCAACGGGGACUUGGAUACGGCCCAGACUCCGACGGGAGGCGGCGGUGGGGAAUGUUGCACAAUGGGCGAAGGCCUGAUGCAGCGACGCCGCGUGAGGGAUGACGGCCUUCGGGUUGUAAACCUCUUUCAGCACCGACGAAGCGCAAGUGACGGUAGGUGCAGAAGAAGGACCGGCCAACUACGUGCCAGCCGCCGCAGUAA